rnacentral:rRNA from 1 species
UACGAAGGGGGCGGGCGUUGUUCGGAAUUACUGGGCGUAAAGGGCGCGUAGGCGGCGACUCAAGUUAGAUGUGAAAGUCCUGGGCUUAACCUGGGGACUGCAUUUGAUACUGGGUUGCUUGAAUUCGGGAGAGGAUAGCGGAAUUCCCAGUGUAGAGGUGAAAUUCGUAGAUAUUGGGAAGAACACCGGUGGCGAAGGCGGCUAUCUGGACCGACAUUGACGCUGAGGCGCGAAAGCGUGGGGAGCAAACAGG